AUGCUUGAAUUGAAAGGAUAUAUUUUUAGAAAAACCUCAAUAUUUUUUUUUUUAAUUUUCAGUGUAAGAGAUCGAGUGCUUAUAAGAAGUUGGCAACUCAUUUGAAAUUAUCGGGACCGAACGGACUUCCUCACACUUCAAGAAGUCCAAUAAUACCUGUGGAAUGGUGAAAUUAUACUGUCAACUUUACUGCAGAAUAACAAAACCACAACGAUUCGUAAGCGUCAAUAAUAAACGUGGAGGUGUGGAGAGCAUGCGCUUAUGAAGAUUCGUUUCCUAGAAUAGUAAUAAAAAUUAUGAUAUACCUA